rnacentral:lncRNA from 1 species
CCAUUUUAUAAUAAGAAAAUCAAGUCUCCAGUAAGUGAAGUGGGCCAUGCUGCCAGUGUGGGAUUGAAAGCUAUCUGCAGUGGCUCUGUGGGUCUUUUCAUCAUCCAUCCAGCAGGGGGCGAUAGAACCCAAACUUACCUUCAGGACCCUCUGAGCCACAGGCUUUGGCCUUGAUUUAUCCUAGUGGGUAUUUUAUCUUUUCAGAGAGAGAGUGGGGUUUCCCAGGUGGCUCAGUGGUAAAGAAUCAGCCUGCCAAGGCAGGAGACAUGGGUUUGACUCCUAAGUCAGGGGAAGAUCUCCUGGAGGAAGAAAUGGCAAACCACUCUAGUGUUCUUACCUGGAGAACCCCAUGGACAGAGGAGCCUGGCAGACUACAGUCCACUGGGUCACAAAGAAUCAGACACGACUGAGCAUCAUGCGAGAAAGGAUCUAUAGCUUUCAUCAGCUGUGAGCCAGAAAAGAUUACACAAGAAUUCCAAAAUCCUAUAACGAUGAAAGCAGUAACAGUAAAACCCUGCAAGCUUACUUUUUGGGUCAAAGACAACACUAAGACUCUUUCCUCCUGGCUGCAGUGGGGGCUAAGCUGUGCAGAAAGAAGCAUCUUCGUCCCUUCCAAGGGCAGCUCCGUCCCCAAAGCCAUCUCUUCAUUUCUGAGUGCGCAGCGACACCGUGUGGCCAUUUCUCAGUACAGCUUCUCGUUGCUCUAUUUUUUCAUUAUUUAAAAAAUCACCAGAUUGUUUUUGCUAGACAUUUUGCCUUCAUCUCACUGCACAGGAGAGGCAACGGAAGCAGCUGUGACUGGGAAGAGGUCAGCUAAGCUUAUGGGGACAAAUGUCCUUCUGGCAUGCUGGCCAUGCCGACACUUGAGCUCAGAAAGCCGGCCGAGGGCGACCCCUUUGGGCACUGUUUGCGGGGACAGCAAGGUGGUGGUGGGACCUCAAGAAACCCACUAUGAAAAAUCAAGGCUGUGGUUAACAUGUGUCAAGGCAUGGUGGCUUAAACAAGUUAGGGGGUGUUUUCUCUCACAUAAUCUAAAGUCUGAUAGAGGUACAGGUGACCCAAGGUUGCUAUGGUGACUCCACCGUGUCAUGAGACAUUGCUCUGCUUUCUGCUUCAUCAAUCCUGAAGUAGGUCCACAAGGUUACAUUAUGAUCACAAUAGGGUUGCUAGAGCUCCACCCAUCAGUUCUGGGUUCCAGGCAGAAAAAAGAAGUCUGGUCUGUAACCAGCGGUGACAAGAGCUUCUAUUUCUUCAGUGCCUACUGUGUCUACAUGCACUGUCGCAUCCAU